GCCAUCACUGCAAACAUUCCAACUUUUCUUCUUCUUCUUCCCUGUCCCCCAUCUCUAUACGCUGACCAUGAGGCCAUAUGAUCUGGAAUAUUCCUUUAGUCAGCUUGGAUCAUCUGUCCCAGGUGUCUCCCCUCCAAACUUCUUGUGCACCUGCAGCCUCUUCACUGAACUGGAUGUGUUUCAUGAAGACUCACCAAAUAUCAAAGCUGUCCUCUGCUAAAACAUCAGAUGCAUUUCCUCCUAUUCACCUGCCAGCUUCAUUCCAACCCAGAGACAGAAUUUCAGGGCUCUGUCUUAAGACCAAUAUUCUUUAAUAUCUUCAUCAAUCACAUGGACAGUGGGAUCAAAUGCACCCUCAGCAAGCUUGCAGAUGAAACCAAGCUGAGUGAUGCAGUUGACACACCUGAAGAACGGGAUGCAACCCAGAGGAAGCUGACCUAACUUGAGAACUGUGGUGAUGGGAAAUAUUAUCAUCACUUUAACGAAUGGAUGGGAUUUCCAUUGUGUGAAAAACAAUUUAUUACUCAAAUAAACAUCAGCCUCAA